CCAGCAGCUGCGGUAAUUCCAGCUCCAAUAGCGUAUAUUAAAGUUGUUGCAGUUAAAACGCUCGUAGUUGGAUUUCGGCGGGCGGUGGGCGGUCCCCACCCUUGUGUCGGCGUCCGGUCAACCGGCACCGGCCGAGGGCGCGGAGUAUCGCGAAAAAACCACUCGCUCGCCUCAUCUGUCUGGGUCGCCGCCGCAAGGCGGAGUUCGGCUCGACAGUCGGUUACUUUGAGCAAAAUAGAGUGUUCAAAGCAGGCGGCUUGCCUUGAAUACGUUAGCAUGGAAUAACAAGAUGUGGGCGACUCUCGUCUUGUUGGUUUACGAGUGAGCUCGAUGCUUAAUAGGGACAGUCGGGGGCAUUCGUAUCUCGCAGUCAGAGGUGAAAUUCUUAGAUUUGCGAGAGACGAACAUCAGCGAAAGCAUUUGCCAAGGAUGUUUUCAUUAAUCAAGAACGAAAGU
rnacentral:rRNA from 1 species